CUUUCCUAUUUCUUAUAUAAACAAGGAUAAGAAAGAAAUAUAUAGAGGAUAAUAAAUCUUUAUAUAUAAGGGAGACUGGGGACACUUGAUCCCCAGGGAGACUUGAUCCCUUGUCAAUAAAUCGAUAAGCACACGGUAUUUUUAUUUUAAAUACUGAAAAUACUGUUGCCUUCACUCAUUGUGUAUGGCUGAACGUAAAUUUGACGGUUCACAAACGACAACUUCAGAACAGUGGUGCCAUUUUGUUUUCACCAGGUGAAAAUAUUUUUCUAUGGAAGGAAAAUGCCGAGAACGUACAAACCUAAAGAGGGCGCUAAGAAACGCAUACCCAUAGACAAAACAAAACUUGAAUUAGCGGUUAAAGAGAUUUUGAAAGGAAACACUAUCAAAGGAACUGCAAAACUUUAUGAUGUGCCUUUGAUGACACUAAGUUACCAAAUAUAGGCCUAAAAUAAUACAAACAUUGUAAGUGUUGAUUUUUGUAUGUUUAUAUGGUUAAAUAAACAAUUUUUAUAUUGUAAAAUGCAUUUAUAUUAUUAUUUUAUAAUGACGUAGGUACACUUGUUCCACUGUAAUCAAGUCUACCCUACACAAGGAUCAAGUCUCCCAGCAUAGGGGACAUUUGAUCCUUUUGUAGUGUCGUAGAAAAACUAAAAAAAAAAUACUAAUUAUUAAUUAAUUCCAUAAUCUGAUAAUGCACAAAGUUAGGUGAAUAGUUAUUCUAGGUAGUCACCAAAACUUUUCUGAAAACCAUUAUCACAGACA